ACACAGGGGCGAAAUGGGAGGGGGAAGAGGCGGGCCAAAGGAGCGUCUCCUCCCCGGGCGGAGGGAGGAGGAGUCCCAUCCAGUAAGCGGGUGAGCUCAGCUGUGUUGCUCACCCUGGAGUUGGUAGGACUCCAGGAGCUGCACCUUUCGGUGUUCGGCUUCCUUUGCUCUGAGUCUGUCUGAGGGAUCGAGGUGGCCCAUCCAUUCUCUUGUAGGGUAGCCAGAACUGAACGGUAGAAAGACCCACUGGAGUUGUGUGGCUGAAGCGAGAUCUGCUUCUGUGCUAGGAAAUCCUGGAAUUCUAGGUGGUUCCUGAGCAGCAACAACCUUUGCCUGAAAUGAAAAUGGACAUUGAAAUGAAAGAAGAAGAGUUGGAAGAAACAGAUGUUCAGCUAGAGGAGAAGCCAGAGGUUAAGGUAAAAUCGAUGCCAGAGCAAUGUAAAUCUGAACCAACAGAGCAAAAGGAGAAAAAGCAAGAAGUGAAGGAAGAGGAGGAAAGACCUAGUACUUCAGGAGCACUAGCUUCAGGACUGCCAAAAAGGAAAAUUUUCAAGCCAGAAGAGUUGAAGCAGGCACUUAUGCCAACUUUGGAGGCACUUUACCAUCAGGAACCAGAGUCCUUUCCUUUUCGGCGGCCUGUGGAUCCCCACCUACUAGGAAUUCCUGAUUACUUUGAUGUAGUGAAGAACCCCAUGGAUCUUUCUACUAUCAAGAGGAAGCUUGAUACAGGAGAGUACCAGGAGCCCUGGCAAUAUGUAGAUGAUAUUUGGCUCAUGUUCAACAAUGCCUGGCUUUACAAUCGCAAAACAUCCAGGGUGUAUAAGUAUUGUUCCAAGCUGGCAGAAGUGUUUGAGCAGGAAAUUUAUCCAGUUAUGCAGAGCCUUGGCUAUUGCUGUGGAAGAAAGGGUCAACAGCAGACUUCUCCAGUUUCUCAUCUCCAGGCUGCGAUUGUGUCAACUGCCCCCCAAGAUGCUAAUCCUAUGGGAGUGAAUGGAGGUGUUGGUGUUCAACCCCAGAAUUUGUUAUCUGACCCAAUGCUGCAUUCAGCUAUGAAUUCUCAAAAUCCCAUGAUGAAUAAAAAUGCCAAUGUUGCCAGUCUGGGGGCCAUGCAAACAGCAGCACAUCCUUCUGGCACUGGAAUUAGAAAACAAUGGCAUGAAGAUAUUACUCAGGACCUCCGAAAUCAUCUUGUUCAUAAACUAGUGCAAGCCAUAUUUCCGACUCCUGACCCAGCAGCACUAAAAGAUAGGUGCAUGGCAAAUCUUGUCUCCUAUGCUCGGAAAGUAGAAGGGGACAUGUACGAAUCAGCAAAUAGUAGGGCAGAGUACUAUCACUUGCUAGCAGAGAAGAUUUAUAAAAUCCAAAAGGAACUAGAGGAAAAGAGGAGAACCAGAUUGCAGAGGCAGAAACUGAUACCAAAUGCCCCAAGCAUGCCACCAGCUCCUAUGAAUCAAGGGCCCAUGGGACAGCCGCAGUCUGGGAUGACGGCGAAUGGUCCUCUUCCUGACCCAAACAUGAUUCAUGCCAGUGUGCCAAACCAGAUGGUAAAUCGCAUGUCGACACCACCAGAUUAUCCUCUUCCUGACCAAAAUAUGAUUUGUGCCAAUGUUCCAAACCAGAUGGUGAAUUGCAUGCAGACACCACCAGGUGACAGUUGAAAAAAGGAAUUCUGGGCAACUUGAAUUAAUAGUGGAAACUUUCAUUCUCUCUGUCCACAUCCUGGGAAUAUACCAAAGAUAAUACUGAUUUAAGACUGCAUGAUGAUGAUGAUAUCCACCCCAUAACAAAUUCUCUCGGCGGCUCACAACAAAACAUUAAUAAACAUCCAAUAAAAACACAUAAAACACAAAAUACACACACAUCACUGAACCAAAACAAACAAACAAAAAAAUUCAAAACAUUAAAAAAGAAUUAAAAUUGAAUUUUUUAAAAGCCCGAGUGAACAGUAAGAUCUUCACUUGGUAUCUAAAAGAACAAAGUGAUGGUGACAGGCGAGCCUCACUGGGAAGGCUAUUCCUUAAACAGGGUUCCACCACUGAAAAGGCCCUUUUCCUAGUAGCCACUCACUAGACUUCAUUUGACAGGGGGACUUGGAGCAGGGCCUUAAAAGAAGAUCUUACGGUCUGAGUUGGGUCACAUGGAGAAAGGUGCUCUCUCAGGUAACCUGAUCCCAAGAUGCUUGAUUUAUUCAUUUGUGAAAGAAACUGUUCCCACUUUCAAAAGCAGCACAGUUCCUAGUUCAGUAACAUUAGGAUAAGAUGAUUCAGGAUGCCAGAAUAGGAAAAAUCUUUUGGUAAACAUUAUCUAGGUGGUGGUAAUAGAAUAUAUACUGGGGAAAGCUUUCUCUAUCUCUUUAAAAUAUUCUUUAUUUUGGUAUUUCAUAAUACAAAAGAACUAAGUUGUAAAAAAAAAAACCCCAAUCAUUAUCAAUUAUGUCAAGUAAUGCAUGUUAUAUUAUGCUGAGAACUCGGGAGAUACUACUACUACGAAUAUUUAUAUACAAUUCUUCAACCAAAGUUCUCAAAAAUAAAUAAUACAUAAAUAAGGUGGUCCCCUGUCUCCAAAGGGCUCACAAUCUAAAAAGAAACGUAAGGUUGACCCCAGCAACAGCCACUGGAGGGAUGCUGUGCUGGGGCUGGAUAGGGCCAGUUGCUCUCCCCCUGCUAAAUAAAGAGAAUCACCACUUUAAAAAGAUGCCUCUUUGUUCACUUAGCAGAGAUGAUUUUGAUCUGCCAGUUCUGGAUGGGGUCACACUUCCCCAGAAUGAACAGGUAUGCAGACUGUUGUGCUUCUGGACACAAACCUAACCCUGGUGUCCCAGGUUGAGGCAGUGGCCAGAGGUGCCUUUUAUCAGCUUCGGCUUAUAUGACAGCUGUGUCAGUUUCUUGAGAUAAAUGACCUCAGAACAGUAGUGCAUCUGCUGGUCACCUCCAGACUUGAUUACUGCAAUGCGCUCUUUGUGGGGCUGCCAUUGUACAUAGUAGGAAACUACAGCUGGUUCAGAAUGCAGCAGCCAGGUUUAGUCUCUGGGUCAUCUUGGAGAGACCAUAUCGCUCCUAUCUUAAAAGAUCUACACUGGUUGCCGAUAAGUUUCCGGGCAAAAUACAAGGUUUUGGUUAUAACCUAUAAAGCCCUAAACAGCUUGGGCCCUAGGCAUUGAAGAGAACGCCUUCUUCACUAUGAACCACACCGCCCAUUGAGAUCAUCUGGAGAAGUGGGUCUGUAGUUGCCACCACCUCAUCUGGUGGCUACUUAGGGAUGGGCCUUCUCCAUUGCUGCCCUGAGGCUUUGGAACACACUUCGUGCUGAAAUAAGUUCUUCCCCAUCUCUUACAACUUUUAAAAAGGCAGUCAAGAUGCAUUUGUUUACCCAGGCUUUUAAUUAGAUAUUGUUUUAUUUGUGUUUUUAAUAGUGUAAUGUUUUAAAUUUUAAUUGUUAUGUUUUUAUCUUUUUAUCUGUUGUUUUUAUUGUUCGGUUGUAAAUUGCCCAGAGACUUGCAUUUUGGGCGGUAUACAAAUGUGUUAAAUAAAUAAAAUAAUAAAUAAAUAAAAAAUAUUAGUAUAUACAUGCAUCUUUUUGUUUGGCUUUUUAAUAAAU